GCUUUCGUAGAUGUCACGUUUUUGGUAGUUUGUCACUUGGUCUUGAUCCCAACUAUUUCUGCACUAGGAAGUGACAGAAAGGUUGACAAAGGAAUGCAAUGGGAGAAAUUAUUGAGUAGUCCCAGCCAAUACAAAAAAACCACAUCAUUAAAUAUAGCUGAGAUCAGCUUACUUGCCACAUCAUCUCAACACAACUCCACACUUAACAGCUGUUAGCCCCGCUGCAUUAACCCUCCAUGCAAAUUCAAAUUUUAAUUUGAAAAUUGGGCAAUCUGUUAUCUCUUUCUGUUCAUCAUCACCACCAUUGCAACGUUGGCAACAUUUCUGCACUUGCAAGGUGUUGUGGGUUCAUGUUAGUGUGGUGCUGACAGACUCAUUCAGAGUAAGCCUAUUCUCCAUGCCUAUUAGCGUUUUGUAUUGGGUGCAAGUUGUAAUUAUGAGUGUUUAUGAGGAAAAUUUUAGUUUGGAAGCGUUUUGUGAUGGGUGCAAGUUGUAAUUAUGAGUGGCUAGGAGGAAAAUUUUAGUUUGGAAGCAAAAGAGGCAUACGGGUAGCUCUGUAAUUAGGUGGAAGGCCUUUUAUAAAGAAGAAAAUUAAUUUCUAGCAUGGCAUAAGGACAUCACGACCUGGUUCCUGGGUGCGGAGUUGCUAUUGCUCUAGGCCACCUUCCGGCGUAUUUUGGUAUAUCCUAUGUCACUAUGAAGCCUGCUUAUUGGUAUUGGCCAAAGUUUAAAUUUUUUACUUUGUGUUUCUGUUCUUACAAAGAAACUAGUUCUUAUACUAAUUUCUAGUUUUUAAAAAAGAAAAGGGAGCUAGUUAUCUAACUUAUUUUUGUCAUCUGUGGCAUUAAAUUGCAGAAUUAUGUUCCCUAGCUAUAAUGCUUAAGUGUGAACCAUUGUUUAUUAUCCAGGAGAAGUUCAAUAUCAGUCGGAUCAAUUUCUAGGCAAAAACAAACACUAUGUUUUUGCUGAACGUCAAAAAUUGUUGAUGGUUGGAGUGGUUCCUUUAUCCAAGGGAGCUGUUAGUAGUUGAUUAGUAUUAGAAUUUAGCAAAUAAAUUCCUAGUUUUUUGGUAGAGAUAUCUGAUUGAGUUAUUAGAUUAUUUUAUGCUCAAUUAUCUUAUCAUUGUAAUUCGGUUGAUAAUCAAUUUUGUAACAAACACUGUUAUUUAAACAAUGAGAUUUGAAUAAUA